GCUAAUUUGGCAGAUUUGAGUGUGAUAAAUUUAGAAUUUAUUUAUGUAAUUUUAUUACAAUUAGUA
rnacentral:tRNA from 2 species